rnacentral:tRNA from 1 species
GCCUGGCUGGCUCAGUUGGUAGAGCAUGUGACUCUUGAUCUCUGGGUCAUGAAUUCAAGCCCCAUGUUGGGUG